UACGUAGGUGGCGAGCGUUGUCCGGAAUUACUGGGUGUAAAGGGCGUGUAGGCGGGUCUGCAAGUCAGAUGUGAAAUUCCGGGGCUUAACCCCGGCACUGCAUUUGAAACUGCGGAUCUUGAGUAUCGGAGAGGGAAGUGGAAUUCCUAGUGUAGCGGUGAAAUGCGUAGAUAUUAGGAGGAACACCAGUGGCGAAGGCGACUUUCUGGACGAUAACUGACGCUGAGGCGCGAAAGCGUGGGGAGCAAACAGG
rnacentral:rRNA from 1 species